GAUGAACGCUGGCGGCAUGCCUAAUACAUGCAAGUCGAGCGAAGCGGGGACGGGUGAGUAACACGUGGAUAACCUCCUAUAAGACUGGGAUACCUUCGGGAAACCGGGGCUAACCGCAAUACUUAUAGAUGGAUCCGAGCUGGAUUAGCUAGUUGGUAAGGUAACGGCUUACAAAGGCAACGAUGCAUAGCCGACCUGAGAGGGUGAUCGGCAAACCUGGAACUGAGACACGGUCCAGACUCCUACGGGAGGCAGCAGUAGGGAAGCUUCCGCAAUGGGCGAAAGCCUGACGGAGCAAUGCCGCGUGUGUGAUGAAGGUCUUCGGAUCGUAAAACUCUGUUAUUAGGGAAGCGGUACCUAAUCAGAAAGCCACGGCUAACUACGUGCCAGCCGCCGCGGUAAUAC
rnacentral:rRNA from 1 species